rnacentral:lncRNA from 1 species
GCAUUGAUAUUUCUCUGUACCCAUUAUCAAGUUAUGUGCUGAGUUCAAGAGGAUAACGACGGUUGGUUUGCUGCCAAAGUUCUUUUCCGAGCUGGAUGGUUACUCAUCAAAACUGCUCCAGGUCUUUGGCAAGAAGGGUGGUGCGCAGGGAAGAAAGAUAAAAAGUAUCCUGAUACCAAUGACACAGACUGACAGCAUUGAUGUGAAAAGAGGUCUACCUGAACGAAGAGCCGGACAAAGUGGUGAAAGAACGCCUGGACUGUGAUG